AUUAGAUAGUUGGUGGGGUAAUGGCCUACCAAGUCUACGAUCUAUAGCUGGUUUUAGAGGAUGAUCAGCAACACUGGGACUGAGAUACGGCCCAGACUCCUACGGGAGGCAGCAGUGGGGAAUCUUAGACAAUGGGCGCAAGCCUGAUCUAGCCAUGCCGCGUGUGUGAUGAAGGUCUUAGGAUCGUAAAGCACUUUCGCCAGGGAUGAUAAUGACAGUACCUGGUAAAGAAACCCCGGCUAACUCCGUGCCAGCAGCCGCGGUAAUACGGAGGGGGUUAGCGUUGUUCGGAAUUACUGGGCGUAAAGCGUACGUAGGCGGAUCAGAAAGUAUAGGGUGAAAUCCCAGGGCUCAACCCUGGAACUGCCUUGUAAACUCCUGGUCUUGAGUUCGAGAGAGGUGAGUGGAAUUCCAAGUGUAGAGGUGAAAUUCGUAGAUAUUUGGAGGAACACCAGUGGCGAAGGCGGCUCACUGGCUCGAUACUGACGCUGANGUACGAAAGUGUGGGGAGCAAACAGGAUUAGAUACCCUGGUAGUCCACACCGA
rnacentral:rRNA from 1 species